GAGAACUUGUACAAGCACGUUAAUAAUUAAAUAAAUUUAAAACUAUGUAUGUGUAUAUAUGUAUAUAAGUAGGAUUUUUGUUAAAGUGUGGACUCAGAUUAAGUUUUAGAUACGUCGUGGCUAUGAAGUAGUUGCUCGAUUUAUUGGUCAUUCUAAAUCGUUUUGCCAAGAUACGAAUCGUAAAAUCCUUUUGUGUUGCCGUGAUACUGCAAAAAAUUUCAUCAUCGCCUGAAUUUAUUUAUUUUUUAUCACGUAUUUGUAUACGUAACGUCCGUCUUUUUAUUUAGGGAGGCCUCAAAAAUCAAUGAGAGUUUCUUCAUUGAUCAUGCAUUAAUAUUUGGUGUAAAAUAAGUAAAUUCGAGAAAAUAAAAUUCAUCUUUCGUUAUGGGAUGGCCUCGAAAAUUUAAUGGAGAGAUAUUGUCAUUGGUCAUAUAAAAUAAUAAAUUUGAGAAAAAUGGAGAAAUAAUGUCAUUGGUUAUGUAUUUAGUAUAUAUUUCUCUUGCAAGUUGAAUAUACAAAAUACUCUCCAGACAGAAUUCUUGGUAAAAUGUGUGUAAAAUACUACAAUGCGCUUAAAAUAGUCCAAAGAACAAAAACAAAUCAGUAUAUCUAAAGGUAAAUCAACAUUAAAAUAAAGCAACACAGUGCAAAAAAUAAAUAUAGCUCGUCAGAAGUAAGCCUGGACAGUCAAAUAAUUAUUAGAAAAUAAGCUACGAUCAAAAUAAAAGGAGAAAUGGCGUCACUUCAACGGCUAGACGCCGGAGCAACCCCGGAAUUGCAAAAUCGGCCAGAUCUACCCAUUUUCAGGCCGGCAGUAGUUGUGGUGUUGUUCGCCGGUCACCGGUGGUCAGAUCCGGCGAUGACGACGAAGGGAAAGGGAAAAGAGGGUGGCGCGGCUGUGGUGGUUUCAGGCCUUCGCCGGUCACCACCUACGGCGAGUGGGGACGAGAGAAAGGAGGGGUAGGCGGCAAUGGUGGCUUUGGAGCUAGUCGUCGGUCGUCCGGCAGUCAAAUCCGGCGGUCGGCAGUAAUGGGAAAGGGGAGAGAGAAAGAUGAAACAUUUAAUCUUCCUUGUUUGUAUUUUGUGCAUAAUUGUGUGUUAAAAAGCGUGUAUGUGUUUUAGUGUGUGUAUUAUGGUCGUCGGCCGUCCAGUUAGUGAAGUCCGCCGAUCGGCGGUGAGGAAGGGGGAAAGAGGCGUGAGUUGAGAGAAGAAAAAAAUCAAAUUUUGGGUGUGUGUGUGUAUGUGUUUUUGAGAAAGGGCAGAAAAAUAAAAUAUAUGUGUAUUGUUUUUUGUGUAUUUUUGAAAGAAAAAUGGAAAAGAUGGAAAGAUUUUUUUGUGUAUGUAUUUGUAUCUAGUUUUGCAUGUAUACAAAAUUUAUCCUUUUUAUUUUUUUAUCAACAGAUAAAAUUAUUAUCCAA
rnacentral:lncRNA from 1 species